rnacentral:rRNA from 1 species
GAUGAACGCUGGCGGCGUGCCUAAUACAUGCAAGUCGAGCGAACGGACGAGAAGCUUGCUUUUCUGAUGUUAGCGGCGGACGGGUGAGUAACACGUGGAUAACCUACCUAUAAGACUGGGAUAACUUCGGGAAACCGGAGCUAAUACCGGAUAAUAUUUUGAACCGCAUGGUUCAAAAGUGAAAGACGGUCUUGCUGUCACUUAUAGAUGGAUCCGCGCUGCAUUAGCUAGUUGGUAAGGUAACGGCUUACCAAGGCAACGAUGCAUAGCCGACCUGAGAGGGUGAUCGGCCACACUGGAACUGAGACACGGUCCAGAUUCCUACGGGAGGCAGCAGUAGGGAAUCUUCCGCAAUGGGCGAAAGCCUGACGGAGCAACGCCGCGUGAGUGAUGAAGGUCUUCGGAUCGUAAAACUCUGUUAUUAGGGAAGAACAUAUGUGUAAGUAACUGUGCACAUCUUGACGGUACCUAAUCAGAAAGCCACGGCUAACUACGUG